rnacentral:misc_RNA from 1 species
CUGUUGCCUCGGCGGGGUCACGCCCCGGGUGCGUCGCAGCCCCGGAACCAGGCGCCCGCCGGAGGGACCAACCAAACUCUUUUCUGUAGUCCCCUCGCGGACGUUAUUUCUUACAGCUCUGAGCAAAAAUUCAAAAUGAAUCAAAACUUUCAACAACGGAUCUCUUGGUUCUGGCAUCGAUGAAGAACGCAGCGAAAUGCGAUAAGUAAUGUGAAUUGCAGAAUUCAGUGAAUCAUCGAAUCUUUGAACGCACAUUGCGCCCGCCAGUAUUCUGGCGGGCAUGCCUGUCCGAGCGUCAUUUCAACCCUCGAACCCCUCCGGGGGGUCGGCGUUGGGGACCUCGGGAGCCCCUAAGACGGGAUCCCGGCCCCGAAAUACAGUGGCGGUCUCGCCGCAGCCUCUCCUGCGCAGUAGUUUGCACAACUCGCACCGGGAGCGCGGCGCGUCCACGUCCGUAAAACACCCAACUUUCUGAAAUGUUGACCUCGGAUCAGGUAGGAAUACCCGCUGAACUUAAGCAUAUCAAU